rnacentral:rRNA from 1 species
UACGUAGGGGGCAAGCGUUGUCCGGAAUCAUUGGGCGUAAAGAGCGUGUAGGCGGUUCGGUAAGUCGGCUGUGAAAGUCCAGGGCUCAACCCUGGGAUGCCGGUCGAUACUGCCGGACUAGAGUUCGGAAGAGGCGAGUGGAAUUCCCGGUGUAGCGGUGAAAUGCGUAGAUAUCAUUUGGAACGCCAAUGGUGAAAACAGCUCGCUGGGGGUUUGCUGACGCUGAGACACGAAAGCCAGGGGAGCAAACGGG